AAUUCAGUGUAAUUAUGGCAGAUUCCUGAUGCCUUUAGAAAAGGUUUUAUUUCAGCUUUUACAGUUAAUUGUAAGAUCGUUUUCUUUCUGUCUUUUUCUGCUUGUUCUGUUAAUGUCAGAGGCUGAAGAGAUUUAUUACGGAGGAAAGCUGGAUUUUUGUUCUGCAGAAGUAAAAAUGCAGGUUUUUAUUUUCUUCCAGAAAGCCGUGCACGUGCAGCAGAUGAGACUUUGUGGAAAAAUGAGUGGAGCAGUGAGACGUGGUUCUCCAGUGGAAGUCAUGGAUCAGCAGGAGCAGCCAUCUUAAAAGCUCCAUUUAAAGGUCACACACUACAGAGGAUCAGCAUGAAUAAAGCCUUUCAUGAAGCGGAGCAUGGCUGAAUUUCUCCCGUGUGUAACACAUGGAGUUCAAAGCUUCACACACCUGGAAACAGCAGCAGGGUUAUGUCACUGCUGCAGGUUUGUGAUGAAGUGGAGCGAAAACAUCCAGCUUUGGGAAAGAAGUGACAAAGAUUUGACUGCGUCUGCAAAAAGUGCUUCACCUGCCUCCAGAGAAAUCUCUGCCAUACCAGCUGUACCUGGAGGCCAGAGAGGAGGCUCUCGUUGAAGAGUUACCAGGAGUU